rnacentral:rRNA from 1 species
AUUGAACGCUGGCGGCAGGCCUAACACAUGCAAGUCGAGCGGUAGCACAGAGAGCUUGCUCUCGGGUGACGAGCGGCGGACGGGUGAGUAAUGUCUGGGAAACUGCCUGAUGGAGGGGGAUAACUACUGGAAACGGUAGCUAAUACCGCAUAACGUCGCAAGACCAAAGUGGGGGACCUUCGGGCCUCAUGCCAUCAGAUGUGCCCAGAUGGGAUUAGCUGGUAGGUGGGGUAACGGCUCACCUAGGCGACGAUCCCUAGCUGGUCUGAGAGGAUGAACAGCCACACUGGAACUGAGACAAGGUCCAGACUCCUACGGGAGGCAGCAGUGGGGAAUAUUGGACAAUGGGCGCAAGCCUGAUGCAGCAAAGCCGGGUGUGUGAAGAAGGCCUUCGGGUUGUAAAGCACUUUCAGCGGGGAGGAAGGCAUUAAGGUUAAUAACCUUAGUGAUUGACGUUACCCGCAGAAGAAGCACUGGCUAACUCCGUGCCAGCCGCCGCCGUAA